rnacentral:rRNA from 1 species
GACGAACGAGGGAGGAGGGCGGAACACAUGCAAGUCGAACGGAAAGGCCCCCUUGUGGGGUACUCGAGUGGCGAACGGGUGAGUAACACGUGAGUAACCUACCCUUGACUUUGGGAUAACUUCAGGAAACUGGGGCUAAUACCGGAUAGGAGCUCCUGCUGCAUGGUGGGGGUUGGAAAGUUUCGGCGGUUGGGGAUGGACUCGCGGCUUAUCAGCUUGUUGGUGGGGUAGUGGCUCACCAAGGCUUUGACGGGUAGCCGGCCUGAGAGGGUGACCGGCCACAUUGGGACUGAGAUACGGCCCAGACUCCUACGGGAGGCAGCAGUGGGGAAUAUUGCACAAUGGGCGGAAGCCUGAUGCAGCAACGCCGCGUGCGGGAUGACGGCCUUCGGGUUGUAAACCGCUUUCGCCUGUGACGAAGCGUGAGUGACGGUAAUGGGUAAAGAAGCACCGGCUAACUACGUG